CACGUAACUAGUUUGAUCAUUUUUGUAAGGAACGUAUAUAUAGUUGGAUGACAGAUUUUUUGUCAAACCUGGCUUCACCUGUCAGAGUGGUUGGCAUGAGCAUAUAAUGAUAUAUGAUAAAGAAGAUGUUGCUGAUAAAGAUGUGGCUUUUAAAAAAAUCGAGGUGUCCUACAUGCAUACAAAAUUUACUGGUCGUCAAACCUGUUCCCAUUCAUGGAACUUACUUUUCAACAAGGAAAGACAAACUUCUUUGGAAGAAGAAACUUCUCACUGGUGAUGUGCAUGGGAGGUCCCCAGAUUUUACUUCAGGUGCAGCAUAGACUAAUAAAUUAUAUCCAAGAGAAAAUAAUGUUUCUCCAACGAUGAGUUAGAAGAAAAUGAACAGACUUAUAAAGAAUUUGGUAUCACCAACCGCAGCAAGGGGACCAUAGAUAUACACUUCCUGUAUUGUGGUGAUAACCUAACUUAACCACAACAACAUAAUAUUAUUUUAUUUUUCACCGACAUUUGAAUCAUUCGAUUAGAUAUUUAAAAUUUGAACAGAAUUACCGACUACAUUCGUAUAGAGUUGUAAUCAUAUGUCUUCGAACAAAAUCAUCAUUCAUAAGUGUAUUCUUUUUAGUAAAACAUCCAAUAUAUCGCUUUGUCACAUUACCUUCAUUUUCAUUUUCAUUUUUAGUUGUACUGUUUAUAUUUCUUAAUAAUAUAUGGUCAGUCUAAUUUGCUAAUUUGUUCACAAAUAUAGAUUUCCAAAAAACGAAAAUAGUAGGAAAUAAUGGCGGUAAUCAUUUUUACAGCAACACUGGUAGUACUGCUCUUAGCACGACUAGUAAAUCUUAUCUAAGAAAAUAUUGUGUUUUUCCGACGAUGUGUAAAGGAUAUGGAGACCUUGCAGUUGAUGAUUUUAAUUCACCCAGAAAAGCCUUAGAUACUUAAUAAUGUCUAAUUCACACACACUUAUGUUUACUGGUCGUCAAACCCGUUCCCAUUUAUGGAAUUUACUUCUCAACAAGAAAAGACAAACUUCUUUGGAAGAAGGCUAAGCAAACACCAAUUACCUUCAAUUGCACUCUGAAUCAUCUUUUUGAAUAAAACUAUAUGUCUAAGACUUAUUUAUAAUUAUAAGAAAACUUUAUUUUUAAAUUUUAUAGUUACAGAAAAAAGUAUUUAAAAUCUUUAUUAGUUAUACCAUCAUAGUUUUCAUACUUGUCGUAUUUAUAGCUUAAUUGUAAUUCAAAAUUUAGAGAUAUAUGACUAAUGUGCUGUAAUUUAUUGUUAUACUUGUAGUAGUUUUUUGUACAUACUAAAUAAGAAAUUUUA